GCCUGCAAACGUGUUGGAUGCGACGCAUCGCGCACUCCGUUUCGAAAGCCCGGCGAUGUGUUACCCUCGACCGUUGAUUUUGAGGCGGUAAACCGAGGCGGAAAAAUCGAUUGUGCCCGUGAGAUUAUUUUUGUUUUGGUCCGUGGCCUCUCGCCCCCGUAAUCCCGCGCGGCCUCGGCCACAUGACUCAUGCCAGGCAGCAACAAUGAAAAACCACAAUAAGUACAUCAAGCUGCCGCAAGACCUCGAUCUGAGUUUCCACAGCGACUUGGACCUGCUGCCGGACACGGCUGCCGACAUCGACGUAGAGCUAGACGCGGAUGCGGCCACCCUCAGUGUGAACGUGCCCCCGGCUCUGGGCCUGGACGAGGACUACGACGACGACGAGCUAAUCAUCGCCCACGGCGGCGGAGGGCUUCGACUAGCUCCCACGGCGGCGGAAGCAGAGGAGAGCCGCAAGCAGGAGCAGCGCGGACAGCGGAAGCAGCAACUGGAGCCACAGCAGGUCCUGUCAAGGAGCAAGAUCUGCGGCCUGGGCAGCGACAGCAUCAUCGAGACGGGCCUUACCCUCACACCCGAAAUGUUGUUAUCCACCUCGGAGUCAUCGACCCACAGCGCCUCCGAGGUCGCCGGACGACUGCAAGUCGACGUGCGGACCGGCCUCAAAUGGACGGAGGCCAAGUACCGUGCCAAGAUCAUUGGGCACAACGAGCUACUGCUCGUCGCAGAAGAGCCCACCUGGAAAAAGUACAUUGAGCAGUUUAAGAACCCGCUUAUCCUUCUGCUAUUGGGUUCGGCGCUGGUGUCCGUGAUCAUGAAGCAGUUUGAUGACGCCGUGAGCAUAACCAUCGCCAUCCUCAUCGUGGUCACCGUGGCCUUCAUCCAGGAGUACCGCUCGGAGAAGAGCCUGGAGGAGCUGAAGAAGCUGGUGCCUCCCGAGUGCCACUGCCUGCGCGAGGGUCGUCUGGACACUUUCCUGGCACGCGAACUAGUUCCCGGAGACAUCGUGCACCUGAACGUGGGCGACCGGGUGCCCGCCGACGUGCGCCUCUUCGAGGCCGUCGACCUGUCUAUCGACGAAAGCAGCUUCACCGGCGAGACGGAGCCGGCGCGAAAGGUUACGGACGUCCUGCUGAACAACACGAACGUGAAGGAUCACAGCAACAUGAAGAACAUUGCUUUCAUGGGCACUCUGGUGCGGUGUGGCAACGGCAAGGGCAUUGUUGUCAGCACUGGGGAGCGAAGCGAGUUCGGCGAGGUCUUCAAGAUGAUGCAGGCGGAGGAGGCUCCGAAGACGCCGCUGCAGAAGUCGAUGGACAUCCUGGGCGCCCAGUUGAGCUUCUACUCAUUCUUAAUUAUCGGCGUCAUCAUGCUGUUGGGCUGGCUGCAAGGCAAGCCGCUCUCGGAGAUGUUCAACAUCAGUGUCUCGCUAGCCGUGGCGGCCAUUCCAGAGGGUCUGCCCAUCGUGGUAACCGUCACUCUAGCACUUGGCGUAAUGCGGAUGGCAAAGCGCAACUCCAUCGUGAAAAAACUGCCCACUGUUGAGACACUGGGCUGUGUGAACGUGAUCUGCUCUGACAAGACGGGCACUUUGACCAAGAACGAGAUGACGGCCACGAUCAUCAUCACUUCCGACGGGUACAUGGCGGAUGUGACCGGCGCCGGGUACAACGACCAGGGGGAAAUCCACAUCCGACACUGCAACAACGUGGAAAUGGCCAAGACCAACAUAACCAACCUCCUGGAGAUUGGGGCGGUCUGCAACAACGCCUAUAUCCAAAACGGCACGCUGCUUGGCCAGCCCACCGAGGGAGCCCUCGUAGCAGUGGCUAUGAAAAACGGCAUGUACGCCACAGCCGAGAACUACGUCCGCAUCCAGGAGUACCCCUUUAGCUCGGAGCAGAAAAUGAUGGCCGUCAAGUGCAUCCACAAAUACAACAACAAUAAGGAGGAGAUUUUCUUCGCCAAGGGGGCGCUGGAGACGCUGCUGCCCCAGUGCACCAAGUACCAGUUCGGCACCCAGACAGUGCCACUGACCAAGCAGAACGAGGCCGAGUUCCUAGCCGAGGCAUACGAGAUCGGACGCAAGGGUCUCAGGGUGCUGGCGCUAGCCAAGGGCCGCUCAAUGCAGGACCUGGUCUACUGCGGUUUGGUCGGCAUCACUGACCCACCGAGGCCCCUUGUGCGCGAAUCCAUCGAGAUGCUUAUGCAGAGCGGAGUGCGAGUAAAGAUGGUGACUGGAGAUGCCCAGGAAACGGCCUUGGCCAUUGCGAAUCUCAUCGGCAUCGACACAAUACACCACCAGACGCUGUCCGGUCAGGAAAUCGAUCAAAUGAACGAACACCAACUGGAUAAGGUGGCGAACAACGUGAGUGUCUUCUACCGCGUAUCGCCGAGACACAAGCUGGAGAUAGUUAAGUCCCUGCAGCGCACCGGGAACAUAGUAGGAAUGACUGGGGACGGAGUCAACGACGGAGUCGCUCUGAAGAAGGCGGACAUCGGCAUUGCCAUGGGCAAAAACGGGACAGACGUGUGCAAGGAGGCUGCGGACAUGAUUCUGGUCAACGACGAUUUCCACACCAUCAUCGCUGCCAUCGAGGAGGGCAAAGGAAUCUUCUACAACAUCCGGAACUUCGUGCGCUUCCAGCUGAGCACAUCCAUAGCCGCCCUGGCCCUAAUUGCCCUGGCCACCCUGAUGGACAUUGCCAACCCGCUGAACGCCAUGCAGAUUCUGUGGAUCAACAUCAUAAUGGACGGUCCGCCCGCACAGUCGCUUGGCGUGGAACCUGUGGACCAUGACGUGCUCAAGCAGAAGCCGCGCAACGUUAAGCAGCCGAUGAUCACCAAGUCUGUGGUGGUGAACGUCCUGCUCAGCGCCAGCAUUAUAGUGCUGGGCACACUGUGGGUGUUCCAACGCGAGAUGGCCGACGGGACCCUGGGGAAGACCAAGCGGGACACGACCAUGACCUUUACUUGCUUCGUAUUCUUCGACAUGUUCAACGCGCUCUCCUGCCGCUCGCAGACGAAAAGUGUGUUUACGAUCGGACUUACCACCAACCGCAUGUUCCUGCUGGCCGUCGCCUUCUCGAUCAUUGGUCAAAUGUUGGUCGUAUACUUUCCGCCGCUGCAGAUGGUCUUUCAGACAGAAGCUCUUACGCCAUACGACAUAUUCUUUUUAGUCUCUCUCACCUCCUCCGUGCUGGUCGUCUCCGAGAUAAAGAAAUGGUUUGAGCGCACCAUGGAGCGCAAGAUGUACAGCACCCGCUCCGAGCUGGACUUUGUAUGACAAAACGCAAGCGCUAGAGAAGAUUUGCACCCCAAAGCCGAGUAAAUUAUAUAACUUAACAAAAAAAACCCAAAAAAAAAGGAAAACUAUGCCAAAACAAGCAAGGAGUGCGGCGAAAUGCAGCAAAGGCCGGAACAAAAGCAAGGGAGCAGCGAUGUGUGUGUUUACUUUAACAUUUGACUCGAAAAACAGUAACCAAUUUAUCGACAAUGGCGGGAACCGAACAGGUUAAGCCUAGCAGGAAUUUUCAUAAAUUUGACAUAUAUCUUACCUCUUUUCUCCCAGUGAUGCAGCCAGAACACAGUUCAAGUACUCGGUUUUGCGGAUCCGAUAAAAUGCAAGAGGCUAACGAAGAUGCAUCCGGGUCUCGACAACAUGUAUGAAAUAAAAUGGAUAAGAGGAGGGCAUGGCAAGGACAAAGUAAAGCAAGGCGUAGUGAAAUAAAACAUGGUUUUUUUUUGGUAAAAUUAAUAAAUAAUUUAUUCGGUACUUAAAAGCAAACAAUAAAUUUGCGUAAAGUUACCGCAAAUCAAAAAUCUAGCGCGUUGGCAAAAACAAUAGUUCUGACAUAAUCACCUCUAUAUAAACAUCAAGUGGAGAGUGAAGAUCCAAAAAAGAUUAUAUAAGCUAAGGUAUUUUAAGUUUAUUGAAGAACUUAUACUUUUGAAAAAUAUUAUGCUUUCUCAUAGUUCACGUGGUUUGGCUUAGGAUUUGCUAUCUAUUAUAACAGAGUGCACUAAGCCGAAUGCAACACAUCAAUUAACAGUCAUAUGUUUGAUUUUAAUGGUAAAGCUCAACAAUUAAGUUUCACUAAUAUAUUAAAAACCAAUGAAAACUAUAAACAAGAAAGUACGAAAUAUUUGAAUACGAAUUGACAUAAUUAUUUAGACUCAAAGUUAAAAAUCAACAGUAUGCACCUUAAUAGUCAAUUAAUGCAUUUUGAAUAAUAAAAAAGAUAAAUGGAUAAAUUUCAAUAGAAUACAAAGAGUUGUUUCAACCGUAUUAUUAACCUCUCAAAAUAUCAUUGACAUUUAAUUCAUAUCAUAACAGCUCAGAAGCCAACACUCAUGAAAAAUUUCACAUGUAGAAAAGAUUUCACAGGUGCACUGGGAGCAUAUCACAUAUUCAGUGGAUUGUUUUCGAGCAACCAUAAAUACAAUUUCCAUGUAUAUUUCACAAUUUUGUUGAAUGCAAAUAUUCUCGCGCUUUUAAUGGCAAUUAAUGGACCAAUCAAGAAAAUUUUAUUUAAUCACACACAUUAAGAUCAGUCUGAGCUCGACAGAGACGCACUCUCAUAUAUCAAGGCAAAAAAAAAUCACAAAAAAAUGAAAAAUCGCAAAAAAAUAAAAACAAAAGUAUAUCUAAUAGAAAAAGCUCGUUCAACGGAGCAAGCAAUCAAAGUCUUAUUAUAAUACCCCACGCAUCAAGGCAUACCUAAAGAACACAACUACACACAAACGUACACAACAUACAUACAUUCACAUCUCAUCCACAAUGGUAACAAUAAUUAGACAAUUAAGGGUAUUUAUUAACAGUGACAAGAACAUGAAUGUCUGAUGGAUUAAAUAAAUUGCACCAAAUCAUAUGAAUAUAUUAGUCAAAACAGGUAUAAAAUAAUUUAUGGAAUUUAAACCACACUACUCGGUCCCGUCUUUUGAACAAAGGAAAAAUACGGAAAUUUGUAGUUUAAAAUCUACUUAUAUAAUAUCUUACCAUUAUGAAAAAAUAUCAAUAAUGUUUUGAGUAAGUAAAUUAUAUUUUAUAGUUAUUGAUGAUAAAAAAAAAACAAUCUUAGCCACAGAAAUAUUCAUUACCCGUCUAUAAAUGGUAUGUGAGCCCCGUAUUUUAUGUAUGUCUGUAAGUGUAAAUGUCUAAUAAUGCUGGCUCAAUUCCUUGCUCCAAAAUAUAAGUUGCCUAAUUUAAAAGUCUAUUAAAUUAUAGUUUAGUUUAUAUAGUUCGGUUAAAUGGAAUGUACAAACUGAUGGCAAACUUGCAUAUUAGUAAUAUAUUUAUUAAAAAGCUUAAACUAAAAAAAUACUAUAUCUAUCUGUGCUAUUAAAUGUAAGCUUUAAGAUUAUAUAUUUAGAUAAAUACCAAACAUAGACCCACAUUGCGGAAAUAUUUUGUACAUUCCCCUCAGCCUAGAAACAAGUAAACUUUCUUCGUUGUGUUUUUAUUAGCCAUCUCAAACCAAUAUUUUAGUGAACAAGAAGAACUUAAUCAUUUUAUGAUUUCGUAAACCUAAUGAUUUGGAGCAAAAUCUUAAACUCAAAAUGAACUAUGCAAUGGAAACAAUACUAACAUAUUUAUGUGCGGAUAAUCGCGGAGAAAAUAUUUACAGAAUAUAAUAAACUUUAUGUAGUACAUACAUACUUACAACUUUAA